CGAUCCAACCCUAAAUACUAAUACCAGAUCGAUAGUGCACAAGUACCGUGAGGGAAAGGUGAAAAGAACUGAGGUGAUCAGAGUGAAAUAGAACCUGAAACCAUUUGCUUACAAUCAUUCAGAGCCCUAUGUAGCAAUACAGGGUGAUGGACUGCCUUUUGCAUAAUGAGCCUGCGAGUUGUGGUGUCUGGCAAGGUUAAGCAAACGCGAAGCCGUAGCGAAAGCGAGUCUGAAUAGGGCGCUUAGUCAGAUGCUGCAGACCCGAAACGAAGUGAUCUAUCCAUGAGCAAGUUGAAGCUAGUGUAAGAACUAGUGGAGGACUGAACCCAUAGGCGUUGAAAAGCCCCGGGAUGACUUGUGGAUAGGGGUGAAAGGCCAAUCAAACUUCGUGAUAGCUGGUUCUCUCCGAAAUAUAUUUAGGUAUAGCGUUGUGUCGUAAUAUAAGGGGGUAGAGCACUGAAUGGGCUAGGGCAUACACCAAUGUACCAAACCCUAUCAAACUCCGAAUACCUUAUAUGUAAUCACAGCAGUCAGGCGGCGAGUGAUAAAAUCCGUCGUCAAGAGGGAAACAACCCAGACUACCAGCUAAGGUCCCUAAAUCUUACUUAAGUGGAAAACGAUGUGAAGUUACUUAAACAACCAGGAGGUUGGCUUAGAAGCAGCCAUCCUUUAAAGAAAGCGUAAUAGCUCACUGGUCUAGUGAUUUUGCGCGGAAAAUAUAACGGGGCUAAAGUAAGUACCGAAGCUGUAGACUUGCACACAACUUAGAUUAUUUAAGUUUAGAAUAUGAGAAACUAAGUUAUAUGUUUAGUUAUAUUUUUACUGAUUUUUAUAGAGUAAAGAUAGAAAUAAAACUUAGUAAAAUCAGUAAAAAUAUUCUUAGACUAAAGUUAAGUAGUUUAAGUUGUGUGCAAGUGGUAGGAGAGCGUUCUAUUUGCGUCGAAGGUAUACCGGUAAGGAGUGCUGGAGCGAAUAGAAGUGAGCAUGCAGGCAUGAGUAGCGAUAAUUAAUGUGAGAAUCAUUAACGCCGUAAACCCAAGGUUUCCUACGCGAUGCUCGUCAUCGUAGGGUUAGUCGGGUCCUAAGUCGAGUCCGAAAGGGGUAGACGAUGGCAAAUUGGUUAAUAUUCCAAUACCAACAUUAGUGUGCGAUGGAAGGACGCUUAGGGCUAAGGGGGCUAGCGGAUGGAAGUGCUAGUCUAAGGUCGUAGGAGGUUAUACAGGCAAAUCCGUAUAACAAUACUCCGAGAACUGAAAGGCUUUUUGAAGUCUUCGGAUGGAUAGAAGAACCCCUGAUGCCGUCGAGCCAAGAAAAGUUUCUAAGUUUAGCUAAUGUUGCCCGUACCGUAAACCGACACAGGUGGGUGGGAUGAGUAUUCUAAGGCGCGUGGAAGAACUCUCUUUAAGGAACUCUGCAAAAUAGCACCGUAUCUUCGGUAUAAGGUGUGGUUAGCUUUGUAUUAGGAUUUACUCCGAAAGCAAGGAAACUUACAACAAAGAGUCCCUCCCGACUGUUUACCAAAAACACAGCACUCUGCUAACUCGUAAGAGGAUGUAUAGGGUGUGACGCCUGCCCGGUGCUCGAAGGUUAAUUGAUGGGGUUAGCAUUAGCGAAGCUCUUGAUCGAAGCCCGAGUAAACGGCGGCCGUAACUAUAACGGUCCUAAGGUAGCGAAAUUCCUUGUCGGUUAAAUACCGACCUGCAUGAAUGGCGUAACGAGAUGGGAGCUGUCUCAAAGAGGGAUCCAGUGAAAUUGUAGUGGAGGUGAAAAUUCC
rnacentral:rRNA from 1 species